AGCUGCGGCCGGGGAAGUGUUGGGGUGUUUUGUGAUUGAGGCGCGGAUGUGGAGGUGGUUUAGGGAUACCCUGUUGGCUGCCGUUUGAGGUGGCAGAGGGGAAUCCUUUCGAGAGCAUUAAUGGCCCUGGGUCCUGCCUUCGCGCGGAGGAGGCCUCGUUCCCGAGAUCAGGCCUGACCGGGAUAAGCCCCAGUUUGAAGUGACAGCUUUUUUCUUGGGGGGAUCUUGCAAGGAUAUUUUGUCACCCUUCCAUUCCAUGACGAAAUGAUUCUUCAGGCUUAGAAAGAGUAAGAUGUGUCUGUAAUUCAGAUUACUUCAUCUUUGGUGUUUUUCAGCCCAGGAUCAUUCAUUCUAUGUAACCAAUACUGCUACAAGUAAGACAAGUUCCAGUAUUUUUUCUUUCUUCUU
rnacentral:lncRNA from 1 species